GUCAUCUGUGCUGCCAGAGAACACUUACCACUUGGUGCUGUUCUCUGCUCCCAGUCACUGUCGGUAUCGCGUACUGCUGCGUGUGUUUUGCACACACAUUCACGAAAGUCGCUUUUGAAGGAUAAGUUCGACAAAAUGCCGCGUGCAUGUGAUGUUGCCGGAUGCCCCUAUGGGGCACGCCGCCACUACUGUAGCAAACCAACCGAUGUGGCUUUUCACUGGUUGCCGCACAAUGAACCUGUAUGCUCCAAGUGGCUGAGUGCCGUGCCAGCGGGCUAAACAGACAACAAAUCUGCGUGUGUGCUCGCUGCACUUGCGCCCCAGCGCCGUUCCGUCGGUAUUUCCCGAGUCCGAGAGUCAGCCCGACACCCUGCACAAGUUGUCGGUGUCCAACGACCUGCAACGACGUCAGCGGGACGACGAUGCGACUGAUUGCGUAGAAUCCGGAAAGAGACCUUCUGCAAGUGGUACCUGCACCAAUAGUGACACGAAGGGGGCUGUUCAUGCGGAAAUGCAGACACAUCGUUCUUCGAGUGCUGGCUGCUUGGGCAACUACAAAACGGUGCAAGUUCGUCCGUAUGGCACGAGCAUUGCGACCAGUAUACUGGACAUACCAAUAAGGCGGUGCAGAAAUGCAAGCAGAUCCUCAAUUGAAGCCAAAACCAUUUUUUCAGCUGCUGUAAGAGGUACCAUGUGUCUCUCUCGGAGCAAAUUGGAGGCAAGCAUAGAGCUCAGUGGAUGAAUAAAAUAACCCAUACUGGUGCUCUUAUAUCAACUACAUUCGAAGAUUUCAGGAUCAAAUAUUUGCGUCAAUGACCACACGUUAACCCCUUAAAACCAAAAGUGCCUAUUCUUUUAUUGCUUAUUUAGAAUCCCAUUGUACUAAAAAGCAGCUAGUCGAUAUUGAGAAAUUAUUUGUGCUACAUACUUAGUCAAAUCAAAAUAAUAGUUUGUUUCUGAACAACACUUUCAAAACAAGCUGCCUGCUGCUAAUAAAAAUAAAAGGCUUAUAAAGACAA